rnacentral:rRNA from 1 species
UACGGGGGGGGCAAGCGUUGUUCGGAAUUACUGGGCGUAAAGGGCUCGUAGGCGGCCAACUAAGUCCGACGUGAAAUCCCCAGGCUUAACUUGGGAACUGCGUCGGAUACUGGUUGGCUUGAAUCCGGGAGAGGGAUGCGGAAUUCCAGGUGUAGCGGUGAAAUGCGUAGAUAUCUGGAGGAACACCGGUGGCGAAGGCGGCAUCCUGGACCGGCAUUGACGCUGAGUGAGCGAAAGCGUGGGGAGCAAACAGG